ACGCUGGCGGCAGGCCUAACACAUGCAAGUCGAGCGGUAGCACAGAGAGCUUGCUCUCGGGUGACGAGCGGCGGACGGGUGAGUAAUGUCUGGGAAACUGCCUGAUGGAGGGGGAUAACUACUGGAAACGGUAGCUAAUACCGCAUAACGUCUUCGGACCAAAGUGGGGGACCUUCGGGCCUCAUGCCAUCAGAUGUGCCCAGAUGGGAUUAGCUAGCAGGUGAGGUAAUGGCUCACCUGGGCGACGAUCCCUAGCUGGUCUGAGAGGAUGACCAGCCACACUGGAACUGAGACACGGUCCAGACUCCUACGGGAGGCAGCAGUGGGGAAUAUUGCACAAUGGGCGCAAGCCUGAUGCAGCCAUGCCGCGUGUAUGGAGAAGGCCUUCGGGUUGUAAAGUACUUUCAGCGGGGAGGAAGGCGAUAAGGUUAAUAACCUUGUCGAUUGACGUUACCCGCAGAAGAAGCACCGGCUAACUCCGUGCCAGCAGCCGCGGUAAUACGGAGGGUGCAAGCGUUAAUCGGAAUUACUGGGCGUAAAGCGCACGCAGGCGGUCUGUCAAGUCGGAUGUGAAAUCCCCGGGCUCAACCUGGGAACUGCAUUCGAAACUGGCAGGCUAGAGUCUUGUAGAGGGGGGUAGAAUUCCAGGUGUAGCGGUGAAAUGCGUGGAGAUCUGGAGGAAUACCGGUGGCGAAGGCGGCCCCCUGGACAAAGACUGACGCUCAGGUGCGAAAGCGUGGGGAGCAAAC
rnacentral:rRNA from 1 species